GGAGAGAUGGCCGAGCGGUUUAAGGCGGUAGAUUGCUAAUCUGUUGUACGUCUUUAUAACGUACCGAGGUUCGAAUCCCUCUCUCUCCU
rnacentral:tRNA from 1 species